rnacentral:rRNA from 1 species
CUUGUUUGACGUUAGCUGCAGAAGAAGCACCGGCUAACUCCGUGCCAGCAGCCGCGGUAAUACGGAGGGUGCGAGCGUUAAUCGGAAUUACUGGGCGUAAAGCGCAUGCAGGCGGCCUGUUAAGUCAGAUGUGAAAGCCCGGGGCGUUAACCUCGGAAUUGCAUUUGAAACUGGCAGGCUAGAGUCUUGUAGAGGGGGGUAGGAAUUUCAGGUGUAGCGGUGAAAUGCGUAGAGAUCUGAAGGAAUACCAGUGGCGAAGGCGGCCCCCUCGGACAAAGACUGACGCUCAGAUGCGAAAGCGUGGGGAGCAAACAGGAUUAGAUACCCUGGUAG